CCAGUCCCUGGAGAGGUCUCACCCCUCACCGAGAUGCACUCAGGGCCUAUUAGAUAAAAUUGAUAUAUAACCUUGGAGCACUCUUGCCCUGUUCCUGCAGCUUCCUGUAAUUUCAGUCCAAUUUAAUGGUGUCUCAGUCGAGUUCCUAAUUUGGUUCCAGCAACUGCUGCCACAAUAGUUAUUGGGAAUGUGGAAGUCUAACUUCUGGGUUCUCUGAAGAAGCAAUGUACCAUGGCAGAAGGAAGGGAAGAUGUUUCUGACUGCUUCUUCAGUUUGAAAAUCACCCCAAGUAACCAGAACACAAACAGAAACACAAAGCACAUCUUUGCCUAUACCAGGAGAAGCAAAGAGAAGGAAACUGUCUUAGCCCUCAGGAACCCUAAAAUGGCUCCGGAAGUGGAGGCAGUGAUACAGAGAAGGGGCCCAAAACACAGGGAUUGUUUGUAAGACUGUACAGCUUGUAAUCAGAGCCCCAAGUCCUCAUCCUCAAAGAAGCCGGGCAACUGCCCUACCCCAUCUCUGCAGGGCAACAAGUGCUUGUUCUCUGGAAUACAGAGAGGUGCAGUUUGAAGGUUACCAGGCAGAGGUGAAGGUCGUGAAAAGAGUUCAUACUGAGCAUUGGGACCCUUCUCCUCUGCUUUCCUCUGUCCAGUUCCAGAAAGAAGAUAGAAGGAAGGCAAAGGGAAUUCCAAAAAUGGUGACAGGGACGUUCCAAGACAACAGCAAACGUCAAAGCAGAGAAGGCAACCGAUUCAGAUUGGCAGAGCGUCAGAUGUGCCCAGUGUGGACGUCUCCAAGGGGGGAAAUGGAACAGGUGAGUUGUCUUAAAGUUUAGGCCUGAUGAAAAUUAUAUUGAGAUAUAUUUUAUGGGGGUUUUGGAACUAUGGGAAAAACUUUAGCCAAAUUUUCAAAGAAAAAUUAUGGAUAAAGAUGAAAAAUCAAGCAAUUAUCAACUUCAGAAAAAGAAAAAAAAGAUCAAGAUAGGAAAUAAAAGCACAGUUAACACUUGGCUCAGCAGGGUUCCAUAUGUACGUAGUCAAAAGAUGCAGACACAAGAUAGAGAUUUAAUAGCCAAAAAUUGAAAUACAAAAUUGCAUGGGAGAGAAGAAGGAAGAAAUGAGAAGCUAUAAAUGGGCUGAAGUCCUUAUGUCCCAAAACAGGAAGACAACAGAUGUCUACAAUUAAUAAUCAAGUGAUGGCAGUGUGUGCAUAUUAUAUUUAACGGAGGUAAAUAUCAGAAUAAACUUUUACAACAGUUGGAAGUGGGGGCUCCCAGGGAGACGCGUGAGAGAAGGUAGAAAAAAAGACUACAAUUUUUAUGAUCUACUCUUUAUAGCGCCCAUUGAAUUGUUACCUAUUUGGACAUAAUACUUUGGCAAAAAGUAAAUAUAGGACAUGGGGGUUAACAUGACCAUCGUGUGUGACUCAACACUUCUACUUCUGGAGACGUAUCUAGAGAAACUCUCUCACAUGUUUACAAGGGGAUAUGUGUAAGCAUGUUGAUUUCAGUAUUGUUUGUAACAGCAAAAUAUUGGCCAAAACUGAAAUGUACAUGAGACAGAGAAUAAAUAAAUAAACUGUGCUAUGUUUAAACGACAGAAUAUCAUAUAGGAUGUAAAAGCAACCUACUAACUAUAAAUAUGUACUUAUAUAUACACAUAUACAUGGAUAUAUCACAAAAACAAGGCUGGUGGGAAAAAAGCAGCCGCAGAAUGACUUAUGGAGGAUGAAUUUAUUUAAGCAAAGUUUAAAACAUAAACCAAUACUAUAUGUUUUCUCUGAAUAUAUUUUUAUGUGUGCAAAAGCAUAAUAUUUGAAUGCAAGGACACAGUAAACUUAAGGGAAAAGAAGGAAAUGGGAAUGGAUUGGGGGACAAAGACUCCAACUUACCCUUAAUGUUUUAGUCAUUGCGUUAUAAAAAGAUAAAGCAAAUAUGACAAAAUAUUACCUAUUGAGGAUUCUUUGUGGUCGU